AGGAGGCAAGGUAUAUUCUGUGCCAGGACACCUAAGUUGUUGGGGUAACGACAGCUUGCGUAAUACCAGAAAAGGAGGAGGCAAGGUUUAUUAUAUGCCAGGACAGCGAGGUUAUUCAGUGGCUUGCAUAAUAUUAGUAGAGGGAAGGCAAGCUUUAUUACAUGCCAGGACAGCGAGGUUAUUCAGUGGCUUGCAUAAUAUUAGUAGAGAGGAAGGCAAGCUUUAUUACAUGCCAGGACAGCGAGGUUAUUCAGUGGCUUGCAUAAUAUUAGUAGAGGGAAGGCAAGCUUUAUUACAUGCCAGGACAGCGAGGUUAUUCAGUGGCUUGCAUAAUAUUAGUAGAGGGAAGGCAAGCUUUAUUACAUGCCAGGACAGCGAGGUUAUUCAGUGGCUUGCAUAAUAUUAGUAGAGGGAAGGCAAGCUUUAUUACAUGCCAGGACAGCGAGGUUAUUCAGUGGCUUGCAUAAUAUUAGUAGAGGGAAGGCAAGCUUUAUUACAUGCCAGGACAGCGAGGUUAUUCAGUGGCUUGCAUAAUAUUAGUAGAGGGAAGGCAAGCUUUAUUACAUGCCAGGACAGCGAGGUUAUUCAGUGGCUUGCAUAAUAUUAGUAGAGGGAAGGCAAGCUUUAUUACAUGCCAGGACAGCGAGGUUAUUCAGUGGCUUGCAUAAUAUUAGUAGAGGGGAAGGCAAGCUUUAUUACAUGCCAGGACAGCGAGGUUAUUCAGUGGCUUGCAUAAUAUUAGUAGAGGGGAAGGCAAGCUUUAUUACAUGCCAGGACAGCGAGGUUAUUCAGUGGCUUGCAUAAUAUUAGUAGAGGGAAGGCAAGCUUUAUUACAUGCCAGGACAGCGAGGUUAUUCAGUGGCUUGCAUAAUAUUAGUAGAGGGAAGGCAAGCUUUAUUACAUGCCAGGACAGCGAGGUUAUUCAGUGGCUUGCAUAAUAUUAGUAGAGGGGAAGGCAAGCUUUACUACAUGCCAGGACAGCGAGGUUAUUCAGUGGCUUGCAUAAUAUUAGUAGAGAGGAAGGCAAGCUUUACUACAUGCCGGAACAGCAAAGGUAUGAAGGCAGGGGCUUGAAUAAUACUAGUAAAGGAGGAUUCCGAGUUAUAUAAUAGUGGAGGGACGAGCUCACCUUUGUCAGGAAAACUAAAUUAGAAAGCGAGCGGCUGGUAUUUCAAUAACAAUAGUAGGAUACAAGCUUACUAUCAUAUCCCUCCACUCAUUGCCACUUUUCUAAACUUUUAUAGGGGCAGUGAUUUGCAGACUUUUAAUUUUUUU